rnacentral:rRNA from 1 species
GACGAACGCUGGCGGCGUGCUUAACACAUGCAAGUCGAACGGAAAGGCCCUGCUUUUGUGGUGUUCUCGAGUGGCGAACGGGUGAGUAACACGUGAGUAACCUGCCCUUGACUUUGGUAUAACUUCAGGAAACUGGGGCUAAUACCGUAUAGGAGCUCCUGCUGCAUGGUGGGGGUUGGAAAGUUUCGGCGGUUGGGGAUGGACUCGCGGCUUAUCAGCUUGUUGGUGGGGUAGUGGCUUACCAAGGCUUUGACGGGUAGCCGGCAUGAGAGGGUGAACGGCCACAUUGGGACUGAGAUACGGACCAGACUCCUACGGGAGGCAGCAGUGGGGAAUAUUGCACAAUGGGCGGAAGCCUGAUGAAGAAACGCCGCGUGCGGGAUGACGGCCUUCGGGGUGUAAAAAGCUUUAGCCUGUGACGAAGCGUGAGUGACGGUAAUGGGUAAAGAAGCACCGGCUAACUACGUG